rnacentral:rRNA from 1 species
AUACGGAGGGUGCGAGCGUUAAUCGGAAUUACUGGGCGUAAAGGGUGCGUAGGCGGCUUGAUAAGUCGGAUGUGAAAGCCCCGGGCUUAACCUGGGAAUUGCAUUCGAUACUGUCAGGCUAGAGUAUGCCAGAGGUUGGCGGAAUUCCUGGUGUAGCGGUGAAAUGCGUAGAUAUCAGGAGGAACACCAGUGGCGAAGGCGGCUAACUGGGGCAAUACUGACGCUGAGGCACGAAAGCGUGGGGAGCAAACAGAAUUAGAUACCCUAGUAGUCC